GUGGAACUGCAGUUCAACGAUUCGGUAUCGACAGAUCAAAUCCCAGAAGCUGAUGUGGUGGUAGAUACCUUGGUACAGGCUGUGAAUAGUCCCAACAACACUUUCAAUCUAUCGAUUGAUCCAGACUCAAUUGCAGUUAUUCCUGAACAACCAAGAACAACCACCCAUAGACCAACAACUCAUGGACCAACAACCACCAAUGGACCAAUGACCACCCGUGGGCCAACAACUGCAGUCACCUUAGUUCCCUCACCAGUUGUGUCUGUUGAAGCAAUUUUGGAGGAACCUUUUGUGCCGGAAUUUAAUGAUCCCAACAGUGAACAAUACCAAACUCUGCAAACACAAGUGGUAUCAAUGUGUGACUUCAUCUUCUUCCAAGCAUUUGGAAAUAUUUUCAUCAGAACCAUUGUUAUUGGAUUUCGG